rnacentral:tRNA from 1 species
GAAGGUAGAACUCAGUGGUAGAGUGGAUGCUUAGCAGGCACAAGGUCCUGAGUUCAAUACCCAGUAUCUCCA